AAAAGUUGUUUACAAAAAUAACCUUGACGUUUGCCCGACCAAAACCGCAGUCCCCCUCCAUCUUUCUCUGACAUCGCUCGGUUCCUCCGCGCCACCGCGCCACGCAGUUCCUGCGCCGCCGCGCCGUGUAGGUCCUCCGUGCCGCGACGCCGCGCAGCUCCAUCAUGCCGCGUCGCCGCACAGCUCCCCGCACAGUUCCUCUGCACUUCCCCGCAGCUCCCCCCAUGCCGCACAGCUCCUAAAAAUCCCCUCUUUCCCCGCGGUGACGACAGCCAGGGUUCCGGGCGACCAACCCUAGCCGAGCGAGGCGAAUCGCGAGCAGUCGUGCUCAACUUAUCACCACUGGUCGGCGCCCAGCUUCUAUCCACUGGCCGUCUCUGUCCCGUUUGCUUCUGUCCACGGCGUGCUGGCAGCGCCGUUGCUCGAGCUCGACUCCCCCACGCCGGAAGCCGCCUCACCCUCACUGUCGGAUUCCACCUAGCCCUCGCCGCCGGACACCGCGUCGCCCUCACCGCCGGGUCCCGCGUCGCCCUCUCCGCCAGUAUUGUUGUUGGUACUGAACAUGUGGCUACUGAAACUGUGGUUAAUGUUUUUGGAGUACUGUCUAUUCUCGGUGCAAGCCUGAAUUUUUAGCUACAAUCAAGAGUAGAUAGUGGCAAUCUAGUGCUAAACUUCAAUUCUAGUGUAUCCUGACAGUGUAAAUCUUUGCUGCAUUGUGGAAAUCACACACACACAGUUAACUGGAAUUUGACUCUGAGAGGGAAUAAACUAUUGUAGUUUACUGCAGUUUAUUGCAUAAUUGUGCACUAUUCGGAGCACAAUUCAGUUUACUGCAGUUUUAUCUUCGUGUACAUGCUGUUUAGAGGGAGUAUAGUUACUGUAGAUGCCGAUGAAUGUAGUCGUUCAAAGAUGAAGCUUGGCAUUAUAUUCAGAGAUGAAACUUGGCAUUAUAAAAUACAGUAACAUUGUUGUUAACUUGUGAAUUUGCAAAAAUCAAGAGAAAAUUUUUCUGCCAAUUGUUUCAAUCAUUAUUGGAGUGUUUGCAAAAAUGAACCAACACAGUUUUCUGCCAAUUGUUUCAAUCAAGAGAACAAUUUUCUGCCAAUUGUUUCAAUAAUUAUUGGAGUGUUUGCAAAAAUGAAUCAACACAGUUUUCUGCCAAUUGUUUCAAUCAAGAGAACAAUUUUCUACUGGAUGUAGGAGUAGUCUGCUAUGCCAUAUGCCAAAAAUUCAGUUCAGCUGCCGAAAAUUCAGUUAACUGCCUUUUUUGCAAAUUUUGAUGGCCAAUAAUUUGCAUGUUCAUGGAUUGACAUGAACAUGUAAUGUAGGCUAAGUAUGACAAACAAAUUCAUCUAUGAAGAAAAAGUAGAAGUAGAAGAAGAAGAAAGAAGAAGAAAGAAGAAGUAGUAGAAGAAGAAGAAGUGGAAGAAGAAGAAUCUAGAUAAUUCAAAUAAAUCCUUCCAACUGAUUUCUGCAAUGUUUGUUAGUGUUUUUGUUUGCUGCGAACAGUUUUCAAGUGCAAAUUGUAUGUUAGUGUAUUAUCUAGCUAAAGAUUAUCUUGCUAAAGAUUACCAAGAUGCUGAAGAUUAUCAAGUUACCUAAUUGGUGCAAUUUCAAAUAAUUUCAAAUAAAUCCAAAUAACCCAACUAUUCCAAAUAAAUCCAGUCAAGUAACCCAACUAAUUCAGUUAAUUUCAGUUAACUCUCGUAGUUAACUUUCCCAUCUACAGGUUUUUGUCCAUCUACAGGGUUCAGUUAAUUUUAGUUAACUCCUGUAGUUAGCUUGCCCAUCUACAGGUUUCUGUCCGUAGAAAUUGCAAUAAUAAAGUAGUGAAGAUGCUCAAAUUUUUAUAACCUGUAGAUGCCAUGGUCAAUUGUUUUUGGUAAAGCUACUCGAGUUGCCAGCAAUGAUGAUAAGAACAAUGCAGAGUUUCAGCGGCCUGAAAGAGUUUUAGCACAUUGCUCAGCCUUCUUCCUCAAAGAAAUUGAUCUAGGAGCAAUAGGCAUUAAUACACAAUUUUCUUUAACAACAAAUUUCUGAUUUAUAACUGAGGCUAAGUACGACAAAUAAAUUCAUAUUCUUAGUCCUUGUAGUAUCCCUGUUGAUCUGUUACUUUGAAAUUAACAGUUUAAUUGGAUUCUUUCAACAGGAGUUUUGACAGCAAAUUGAUCUGGUUGGAAUUCAGAUAGCAAUAGUAACAGAGCAUUUGACAACAAAUUCAUCUGGUUGUAACUGAACUUACUUUUUUCGAACAUUUCUUUAGAGGACAGAGCAAUUGACAGAUCAAUUGUGCUUGAAAUUACAAAGCAAGCAAGCAAGGAGCCCUGCACUUCUUCUUACGAGCAGCAGCACGAGCAGGGGACCAACAACAACUUGCAGAGGAGCAGCUGAAGGAGCUCGAGCUUGAGGUCCAGGACGAGCUUGAGUGAGCUCGAGGUCCGGGCACGGCGGGAGCUCGAGGUCCGGGCACGGCGGGAACUCGCGGUCCAGGUGCUUGAGACCCAGGCGCGUGCAGGUCCUGGGCGGUCGCAGCACAAAUUCUGGAUGGCGGGAGAGGAUAUCUGCCGCACAGGCCUGGCGGCGGCAACCCAGGUCCUGGGUACCGGAGGAGCACGUCUUAGGAGACGGUGGAGCAAGCACUUUCGUGGCGCAGGUCUUGGUCGACGGACGAGCACGUCCUUGGCGGCGGCGGAGCAAGCAAUUGGGCGGCGCGGGUCCUGGGCGUCGAAGGAGCGCGUCCUGGGUGGCAGCGGAGAAGCAAUUGGGCGUCGGAGGAGCGCGCGGGCGACACGCGGAGGAAGAAGGAAGGAGACGACUUACCUGUUUGUAACAGAUUUUAAGCUAUAAGGACGUUUUUGUAAAAUUCGCAUUACACUGCACCGCUGGUGACAACUUUUUCCGGACGGAGGGAGUAUUCGGAAACGGAAGAGUAUUUUUUUAAUGAUUUUCGCGCCUUUGAGUGGGAGGCUGCAG
rnacentral:lncRNA from 1 species